AGACGUCAAUGCGUGCGUGCGCGCCCUCAGAGCAGUCGGACAUGUUUGUGUACUACAGAUCAAGUUCCCCACGCCAGGCAUUAUACGACUGACAGACUAUAACGUAACGGUUUAACUUAAAAAUAGCCGAAUGUGUUCAACUGAAGAAAAAACACACUUACAUCUUGGAUGCCCUUGGGUGUCCAAGUUGGCAGUGAUCCUGGAAUCAUGAAAAUCAUGGAAAGCAGAGGCUUUUGGUUUCUAAGCAUCUGUAUAGUCAAUCAGGAGUCACCUCGUAGCUUUAAAGUCCUGAAUGAAGCCGGCAAGCCACCCAGGAGGACCUCCAGGAAGUCCUCAGAUCAAAGGGCGGCACAUCCUUCACCUGUCGCUGGAAUCCACCUCCUUCUCCAUCCAUCAGCAUGUCUUCUCUCCCAGCGCAUGGCAGCAGCCCAGGCCGGAUCAGGCCUCGGGGAACGCUUUGUGAUGGACAUGUGGCACCACGAUGCCGUUGGAGCUACACUAUGUGCGUGCAU